AAAAUUGUUGGGCAGGAAGCGGCUGUAGUACGAAGGGGUGUGGGUUCGGUCGGAAGUACUGGGCUUAAAGCGGACGUAGGUGGGUUGUGAAGUCUGGGGUGAAAUCCGGGAGAUCAACUAUAGAACUGCCUUCGAUUAGGGGGAGCUUGAGUGCGGGAGAGGUGAGUGGAACUGCGAGUGUAGAGGUGAAAUUAGUAGAUAUUCGCAAGAACACCAGUGGCGAAGGCGGCUCACUGGCCCGAUACUGACGCUGAGGUGCGAAAGCGUGGGGAGCAAACAGGAUUAGAUACCCCUGUAGUC
rnacentral:rRNA from 1 species